rnacentral:lncRNA from 1 species
CCUUCCCCAUGUUGCUUGAGCCACUGAAUCAUACAACGAGAAUCUUUUAUUGUAGCCCUCGUCUCGUUCUAAACAGUCCUUGCUGCGAGGUAGCCAAAGAUUUGUGUACACAAUCUUCUGAACCUUUUUACCAUCAUGCACCGAGAAAGUUGAUCUAAAAUUCUAAAUUCAACACUGCAGGGAACAUCCUCGAUGGGAAGUUCAUCGACCUUCUGGCAUGGUGAUCGUAACGAUAUUCCCUGUGUACAAGUCUUCCCUUAUUGGAGAUGCCUCUCUCUCCAUAAAGAAACCGGGCUGUUUAGGUUUUGGCAAGAUUGCUUCCUCAUUCGCUAACAUGAAAACGACUGAAGACAUUGUUGGCCUAUCUCCAUGAAGUUUUUGGACACAUAGCAAACCAACAUGAAUGCAUCUCUCUACUUGGGAUGCAAUGAAGGAGUCACAUAGAGAUUCAUGUAGAAGCUCCAAGGACCUGCCUGCGCUCCACAGCAACCAUGCCUGGGACAAAUCCAUUUAUGUGAUUAAACAUCACCUAAAAGACAUGAGUUUGGACAACCAUAUCGUACUUACUUACAUGCCCAAGAAGGUUGUGUUGAUGAUCAGGAUGGCAAAACCCUCUGUUCCUUUUGCCACUUACUAUCUCUAGCAAAACUACACCAAGGCUAAAAACAUCGGAUUUCACAGAGAAUUUUCCAUCAAAAGCAUAUUCUGGGGACAUGUAGCCACUGCAUUAAGAAUAUCUAGACUUAAAUCUAGCCAGUGUUCAUGGACAGUGCUCGUUAAUCAAGAUAAGAAACUUACUAGGUACCAAUGAUUCUUCUCGUUCUUGCUUCUCUUUCAUUGCCUCCAAAGAUUCUUGCAAGGCCAAAGUCUGAGAUUUUAGGAUUGAGGUCCACAUCUAACAAAAUAUUACUUGUUUUGAGAUCUCUGUGAAUGACUUGCAGUUUUGAAUCUUGAUGAAGAUAAAGAAGUCCUCUCGCAAUUCCUAAAACUAUGUCGAAGCGACUUUUCCACGCUAACAAGAAGCUUCUGUCAUCAUCUGCAUACAGUCAACCCAACGUAAGUCUUAAACAUUUAAGCUCAGCACUCUUAAAGGAAAUGAGUUUAUUGAUUUGCAUUUGGUUGUAUGUCCAGGUAGAGGCACAAAUGAUUACUGACUAAUAGAAUGGGGGUGGAGCGAAAAGGAAAUGAAAAGAAUCAAGGAGGUCGAACCGAAAAUGAAAUAAUCCAAGCUUUUAUUUGGCAUAUAUUCAUAUAGUAACAUUCUUUCUUCUCCCUCAAUGCAACAGCCAAGAAGUCCGACAAGAUUCCUAUGCUGAAGUUUCACAAUUAGGAGUACUUCAUUCAUAAAUUCUUCAAGGCCUUGUCUUGAACCUUUCGACAGCCUCUUCACAGCUAUUUCUUGACCCAUGGAGAGAUUUCCCUGCAUUAUUUUUUCAAUUAAAUAAGCUUAUGGUGUUCUGUAAACUUGCAAAUCCAUAGCUCAUUACCUUGUAGACUGAACCAAAGCCACCCGCUCCAAUCAUGUUGGUCUGUGAGAAAUGUCCAGUAGCAACAGCAAUGGUAGAAAAAUCAUAUAAUGGUAAAUCAAUGUCUUCCUUCUGACUUUGUAAGCCUACAAGGACGAACUCUAUCUAUCACGUGAAAGUAGUAUUUAAUUUGGUCACGGUCCGACAACAGAAUUUCAACGCAAAUCUUCACAGUUAAAAGGGGACUAAAUUACAAACAAGCUUACCUCUUCUUUUCAUUCUGCUCUUCCACAUAAUGCUCAAUGCUAUACCUGCUAUGAGCAGUCCAGAAAUGACUGAAGCCACCGUGACUGUCAACAGUAUUUUCUUAUUGACAGGGCUUUGGAUGGAAUCUAGAAUUCCCAAGAAAAGCGUGUUAACUAAUUUUGGACGAUAAUAUGUUCAGAAGCUGAUGGAUGUGAUCACAAAUAGUCAAGCAAAACGAUAAGCAAACAAGUAAAUAGUUGGGUACAAGAUCAUGAUUAAUCCAGCAUUCACUAUGUACACACUUUUUAAAAAAGCAAGAUCAUCGCAGCUUAGAAAAGUGGUUGCUAACUGAAUCACUAUGUACAUAUUUACCUAACUCAGAAGCAGAUAAUUUAAUGAAGAUAUUUUGUACAUCUUCUUCAAAUUCUCUUAUAUCAAUGAGAUCGCUGAACCACAUCAGACAGCCGCUUCCUCCUCCUCGUGCAUCUGAAUUAGCAUAAGCUGUGCAAGAACAGUUCUUUAGACACUCCACCUUGCACUCCUCAAGGCUCAUGUUCUUGUUUACCCAGAAGUCUAUCAGGUCGGGCAGAGUCAGCAUCGAAAGUUUCAGAAAGCCCUGUUUUUGAGAGCAAUUUAACUGAGCUUUCCUAAUGCACCCGCUGGUUGAAUUAAAUAACAGCCACUCUUCUGGGGAUUUGGGCAUGAAUCCCUGCAAGCACUGGCAUCUAGGUUCUUCGUUCCUCUUGCAAAAAGCAUUAGCACCACACCGCCCGUAGUGAUCACAUGGAUCAUGGGGAGAUGAGGUCAUGACCUCCCAUGUAGAGCUCUCUCUCUUCCUCAGAAGACGUUGAGCAAGACCAGACUGAUUCAAUGUGAGUAUGGUGAAGAUAUCAUACCUUAAAGAUUCAAACUCAAAAUAUGCAUAUGUUUCAUUGUAAACAAACCACGGCUUGAAAAGGGCACUCUUAGUCGAUGGAUCUCCCGGGAAACCGAAUCCAUUGAAUGGCCCUGUCCGCAAUGUUUUUGUGGAGCCUCGUUUGAGCAUUUCAUAUUGGGGCAACCCAUUAACAUUUAUUCCAAUGGUAUAUUCUCCACAGGAAGGAUCAUCCGUGCUUUUCCAAGAAGUCAGACGCCAUUCGAAACCAGAUUUGAGUUCCAUCCCAUUCGCAUACCAGCUAAANNNNNNNNNNNNNNNNNNNNNNNNNNNNNNNNNNNNNNNNNNNNNNNNNNNNNNNNNNNNNNNNNNNNNNNNNNNNNNNNNNNNNNNNNNNNNNNNNNNNNNNNNNNNNNNNNNNNNNNNNNNNNNNNNNNNNNNNNNNNNNNNNNGCUCUUUGAUCGGUUGAGAACAACAAGAUUCCUCUCAUCGCUAAAUGUGAGAACACCAUUUAAAUCAGUGAGUGGGUUGUUUCGGUUGGCAACCCAAACGACUUUUUCAGGACUAAAUUUGUACCAUAUCCCCAAGUACCUGUACUUGGAGUUUUCUGGAGUGAAGAACCCAAGCUCAAAGCUUUGGCCUGAAGAGACCAAUCUCUCUCCAUCUUUAAUGGACUGACCUGGACUUAAGGUAUCGGAUGCGAUCACCAAGUUCAGCAUAAACAUGACAUAAACAGAGUAAAAGAAGGGGGAAUAUGGAACCUUUUCCAAUGCCAUGAAGUCUUCUGUCAGUUUUUCCCUAGCUCCUCCCUCUCAAUGAAAAGUUUUCAACUCGAAGGUUCUCACCAAGAAAAUCCAGCUGAAGUCCACCUGACAAGAUAUUCUGUGAUUCUGUAGCAGGUUCUAUCACUGGAAACUCCCAACGAAAUAAGUAAGCAAAGGUCAUGAAAUGGAGACGCCCAAGUUUGCCAAGUGUUUUUAUUGGGAGACUUAUGAUGUCUAUUCAUGCAAUGGGAGAAGGUCAUGCCCACUCCUCAUGGCUAGCCCAUCAACUAGGUCGGUUCGGUUGGUCCAAAGUAGUAAGAUUUAAAUUGAUCUAUUUUUAUGCAAUGCUAUGUAAACGACUCAUAAUCGUUUCAACCCUAAUCUCAUGCAAACUCUACCCAACCUAAACUCCAAUUUUUAGCAAAUUUUUUUAAAAUGUUGCCUUUGAAAGAUGGGCAACUUUAUGGACUAGCUCUUCGAGUUGGUGAGAGAGCUCAAUUAGUUCGGGUCCUAGCCUAGGACUACUCAUUGUACAUGAGCAACGUGAAGACACGGGUGAGCGCAACACUGCCGGACAAGAACACCUCCUUGGACUGGUUCUAUAAUAUUUUGGUUUGUUGACUUGGUCAAAUCAAGUGGCUAAUAAAACAAAGAAAAAGAAGACGACUUUAAGCAAAAAGACAUUGACGAAGAGAUAAAAGGGGAAGAAGAAAAAGAGAGGGAUGGCAACGGAGAGGAAAAGGGAAGAAGAGGAAAGGGAAAGGAAAAGAGGGAAAUUUGUGCGUACACGCCACAGAGACCUCGCCAUGAGUAACUUUCAGAAUUAGGAUACAAAUCCGAAAUUAUGUGAAAUUUGAGUCCAAUUUAGAGUAGUCAAGUUGUGGAAUUACAUGGAAAUUAUGGACCAUGGUGUUAUUGAGCCGUGAGAUUUGACAAGAGUUGAUUUGAAGUAAUGGUUUGAUUGGACCCAAAUUUUAGAGUUUCGCAUGCAAACUUCAUUUCACGGAUAACUUUGAAUAAUUGCUGUGGGCAAGCGAUUUGUAAAACGCGUAACAGUCAUUUNNNNNNNNNNNNNNNNNNNNNNNNNNNNNNNNNNNNNNNNNNNNNNNNNNNNNNNNNNNNNNNNNNNNNNNNNNNNNNNNNNNNNNNNNNNNNNNNNNNNAAUUGUGCCAAUUCGGUCAUAAACUUUUUUUUUAGUCAAUUUAGUUUUAAACAUUUUGUAUUUGUGUCAGUUCAGUUCAUUCGACCAAUUUUGAUCGACCAACGCUGAUGUGCCGCUAUUGACACUAACAUGGCAUUUUAAAAAUAAUAUUUUAAUAACUUUUUCUUUUAUUUUCUUUAUUUGUUUCCCUUCACCUUCCCCUACCUUUAGCAUUGGCAAGGGUCAUUGGUUGACCCCUGUUGACCAUAGGUGAGGGCUACAACACCCUCGCUAGGGUCACCGGUUGACCCUUGCCGACCAUAGGCGAGGGCUACGAUGCGCUUGCCAAGUCGACCCUCGCCAACCAUAGGUGAGGGCCAAGAUGCCCUUGCUAGAAGUGGACAAGGGCAUUGUGGCCCUUGCCGGCAUCCUCGCCUGGCUAUAUUGAGCACUAACGGUAGGAGAAGGGGAAGGGGAAGGGCAAAAAACAAAGAAAAUAAAAGAAAGAAGAAAAAAAAUUAUUAAAAUAUUAAAAUAUUAUUUUAAAAAUGCAAUGUCAGCGCCGAUAGCACCACUCGGUGCCAACUGGCCAAAAUUAGUCAAAUGGACUGAACUAGUACAUAUAUAAAAGGUUUAGGACUAAAUUGGCUAAAAAAGAAGAAGUUUAUGACUGAAUUGGUUUAAUUACAAUAAAAUUUAUGACUUUUUUGGUAAUUCUCUCAUCAUUUUGUUAGCAUUUAAACUUAAUUUAGCUAAUUUGUAGAUGGGUAGAGCUCCUCUACUUCAGCUUGUAUACUUGUAUUUAGAAAGCGGUAUGGAUUAAAUAUAUUAAAAACUACUAAAAGCAUGUCUAUUGUAUAAAUCUAGACCGAGUAAUUACUAUUUUGUAAUUACUACCUUUCGGUUAUUUGUGAAUGGUUUGAAAAACGUUUUAUGAAAAGCGUUUCAAAAGUUUAAUGCACUAUAUUAACAUCAUGUUACUUAUCGUUUUGCUAUUCUUGUCAUUUUGAUUAAUGCACUGAAAGUGUUGUUGGACUCAUUUAAUUAAGACCAAACAAUAGAUAAUUUAUAUUGUUUAUAAAUGUGUAAAUAAUUCAUUGGGAUACUACGUAUCGAUGUAUCAUAUAAGAAUAAAUUGAAGCAGUAAAUAUAAUUACUUGCUCCUACAAAAGGUCAGAGAGUUUAUAUGAUUUAUCUCCACGAAUAAUCAUUGGCGAUGAUCAAUAAAAAAGGCCUUCCCCAUGUUGCUUGAGCCACUGAAUCAUACAACGAUAAUCUUUUAUUGCAGCCCUCGUCUCGUUCUAAACAGUCCUUGCUGCGAGGUAGCCAAAGAUUUGUGUACACAAUCUUCUGAACCUUUUUACCAUCAUGCACCGAGAAAGUUGAUCUAAAAUUCUAAAUUCAACACUGCAGGGAACAUCCUCAAUGGGAAGUUCAUCGACCUUCUGGCAUGGUGAUCGUAACGAUAUUC